GGUUCCGUAGUGUAGUGUCUAUCACGAUUGUGCUUUACACGUGAAAUGUCUCCGGUUCGAUCCCGGACGGUACUA